rnacentral:rRNA from 1 species
GACGAACGCUGGCGGCGUGCUUAAUACAUGCAAGUCGAACGGAAAGGCCCUGCGCUUGUGGGGUGCUCGAGUGGCGAACGGGUGAGUAACACGUGAGUAACCUGCCCUUGACUUUGGGAUAACUUCAGGAAACUGGGGAUAAUACCGCAUAGAAGCUCCUGCUGCACGGGGGGGGAUGGAAAGUUUCGGCGGUUGGGGAUGGUCUCGCGGCUUAUCGGCUUGUUGGUGGGGUAGUGGCUUACCAAGGCUUUGACGGGUAGCCGGCCUGGGAGGGUGACCGGCCACCAUGCGCCUGCGGUACGCCCCAGUCUCCUACGUGCGGCAGCAGUCGGGAAUCUUGCGCAAUGGGCCGAAGCCUGAUACAGCGACCCCGCGUGCGGGAUGCCGGCCUUCUGGUUAUAAACCGCUUUCGCCUGUGACGAGGCCUGAGUGACGGUAAUGAGUAAAGAAGCACCGGCUAACUACGUG